rnacentral:rRNA from 1 species
AGAGUUUGAUCCUGGCUCAGGAUGAACGCUAGCUACAGGCUUAACACAUGCAAGUCGAGGGGCAGCAUGGUCUUAGCUUGCUAAGGCCGAUGGCGACCGUCGCACGGGUGAGUAACGCGUAUCCAACCUGCCUUACACUCUUGGACAGCCUUCUGAAAGGGAGAUUAAUACAAGAUGUUAUCAUGAGUAAGCAUUUUCGCAUGAUUAAAGGUUUACCGGUGUAAGAUGGGGAUGCGUUCCAUUAGAUAGUAGGCGGGGUAACGGCCCACCUAGUCUUCGAUGGAUAGGGGUUCUGAGAGGAAGGUCCCCCACAUUGGAACUGAGACACGGUCCAAACUCCUACGGGAGGCAGCAGUGAGGAAUAUUGGUCAAUGGACGAGAGUCUGAACCAGCCAAGUAGCGUGAAGGAUGAAGGUUCUAUGGAUUGUAAACUUCUUUUAUACGGGAAUAAACGGAUCCACGCGUGGAUUUCUGCAUGUACCGUAUGAAUAAGGAUCGGCUAACUCCGUGCCAGCAGCCGCGGUAAUACGGAGGAUCCGAGCGCUAUCCGGGUUUAUUGGGUUUAAAGGGAGCGUAGAUGGGUUGUUAAGUCAGUUGUGAAAGUUUGCGGCUCAACCGUAAAAUUGCAAUUGAUACUGGCAGUCUUGAGUACAGUUGAGGUAGGCGGAAUUCGUGGUGUAGCGGUGAAAUGCUUAGAUAUCACGAAGAACUCCGAUCGCGAAGGCAGCUUACUAACCUGUAACUGACAUUGAUGCUCGAAAGUGUGGGUAUCAAACAGGAUUAGAUACCCUGGUAGUCCACACGGUAAACGAUGA